rnacentral:rRNA from 1 species
ACAGCAGUAGCCACGGGAAUACGGAGGGUGCAAGCGUUAAUCGGAAUUACUGGGCGUAAAGCGUGCGUAGGCGGUGAGUUAAGUCUGCUGUGAAAUCCCCGGGCUCAACCUGGGAAUGGCAGUGGAUACUGGCUCGCUAGAGUGUGUCAGAGGAUGGUGGAAUUCCCGGUGUAGCGGUGAAAUGCGUAGAGAUCGGGAGGAACAUCAGUGGCGAAGGCGGCCAUCUGGGACAACACUGACGCUGAGGCACGAAAGCGUGGGGAGCAAACAGGAUUAGAUACCCCCGUAGUCCCUGUCUCUUAUAC